rnacentral:lncRNA from 1 species
AUGGACUGGCAGAGAACUGUGGAGUUUCACAGAGAGAAGGAAGAGCCAGGAGGAAAUGAUGUCAAAUGGGGGAAAAUGGACAACUGUGACCAUGACGGUAUCAGGCAUCUUUCAUCCAGGAAAAAUGAGCAGCCAGAGCCUAGUGAAGCCUUUCAAGCAAGUUCUGACAUGUCUGUGACCACUGAGAAAUCUUACAAUGUAAGUAAUGUGGCUUGGAGAGCCACAUUGAGCCCAGGGAUCUAACAAACUAGAACCAAGG